CGUGCCAGCAGCCGCGGUAAUACGAAGGGGGCUAGCGUUGUUCGGAUUUACUGGGCGUAAAGGGUGCGUAGGCGGAUUGUUAAGUCAGGGGUGAAAUCCCGAGGCUCAACCUCGGAACUGCCUUUGAUACUGGCGAUCUUGAGUCUGGGAGAGGUGAGUGGAACUGCGAGUGUAGAGGUGAAAUUCGUAGAUAUUCGCAAGAACACCGGUGGCGAAGGCGGCUCACUGGCCCGGUACUGACGCUGAGGCACGAAAGCGUGGGGAGCAAACAGGAUUAGAUACCCUGGUAGUCCACGCCUUAAACGAUG
rnacentral:rRNA from 1 species